CCGAAUUAAAUAUGAUGAAAUUUGGCUUAACCAACUAAAUAAUGACAAACCUGGCAUGGUGCAAGGAAAUAAAUUAAGGACCUAUAGACUAUUUAAAUAUAAUAUAGGCCUUGAAAAAUAUUUAUUGUUAAAUAAUUGUAAAACAUUAAAUGAGUUAACCAAAUUUAGAAUUAGUGCCCAUGAACUUGAAAUAGAAAAGGGAAGACAUAAAGGAAUACCCCCA
rnacentral:lncRNA from 1 species